CUCAGAGAAGCUGCCCUUGGCUGCUGGUAGCGCUGGGCCUUCUCUCCUCCUCAUCAUCCAGAGCAGCCAGUGUCCGGGAGGCAGAAGAUGCCCCACUCCAGCCUGCAUCCAUCCAUCCCGUGUCCCAGGGGUCACGGGGCCCAGAAAGCAGCCUUGGUUCUGCUGAGUGCCUGCCUGGUGACCCUUUGGGGGCUAGGAGAGCCGCCAGAGCACACUCUCCAGUGCCUGGUGCUCCACCUAGCCUCCCUGCAGCUGGGACUGCUGUUAAACGGGGUCUGCAGCCUGGCCGAGGAGCUGCGCCACAUCCACUCCAGGUGACUCACUGCAGUACCCAUGGUGAUGGGGUAUCCAACAUGUGUCACUCCCUUGAUGCCUAGCCUUGCCCCUCCUUGAACCUGUCUGGCUGAGCUGGGCUUGGGGCUGGGGUCUGGCUGUCACUCACAGGUACCGGGGCAGCUACUGGAGGACUGUGCGGGCCUGCCUGGGCUGCCCCCUCCGCCGUGGGGCCCUGUUGCUGCUAUCCAGCUAUUUCUACUACUCCCUCCCAAAUGCGGUCAGCGUGCCCUUCACUUGGAUGCUUGCCCUCCUGGGCCUCUCGCAGGCACUGAACAUCCUCCUGGGCCUCAAGGGACUGGCCCCAGCUGAGAUCUCUGCAGUCUGUGAAAAAGGGAAUUUCAACGUGGCCCAUGGGCUGGCAUGGUCAUAUUACAUCGGAUAUCUGCGGCUGAUCCUGCCAGGCUGGAGUACAGUGGCAACAAGAUCUCAGCUCACUGCAACCUCUGCCUCCCAGGUUCAAGUGAUUCUCCUGCCUGAGCCUCUUGAAUAGCUAGGAUUACAGGGAUCCAGGCCCGGAUUCGAACUUACAAUCAGCAUUACAACAACCUG
rnacentral:sRNA from 1 species